rnacentral:rRNA from 1 species
GAUGAACGCUAGCGGCAGGCUUAAUACAUGCAAGUCGUGGGGCAGCAUGAGUAGCAAUACUUGAUGGCGACCGGCAAACGGGUGAGGAACACGUACACAACCUUCCUUCAAGCGGGGAAUAGCCCAGAGAAAUUUGGAUUAAUACCCCAUAAUAUAUUUGAUAAGGCAUCUUAUUAAUAUUAAAGCUUCGGCACUCGAUGAUGGGUGUGCGGCUGAUUAGAUAGUUGGCGGGUAACGGCCCACCAAGUCUACGAUCAGUAGCUGAUGUGAGAGCAUGAUCAGCCACACGGGCACUGAGACACGGGCCCGACUCCUACGGGAGGCAGCAGUAAGGAAUAUUGGACAAUGGACGAAAGUCUGAUCCAGCCAUGCCGCGUGAAGGAUUAAGGUCCUCUGGAUUGUAAACUUCUUUAUAUGGGACGAAAAAGGGCAUUCUUGUUCACUUGACGGUACCAUAUGAAUAAGCACCGGCUAACUCCGUGCCAGCA